rnacentral:rRNA from 1 species
AGAGUUUGAUCAUGGCUCAGAUUGAACGCUGGCGGCAGGCCUAACACAUGCAAGUCGAACGGUAGCACAGAGGAGCUUGCUCCUUGGGUGACGAGUGGCGGACGGGUGAGUAAUGUCUGGGAAACUGCCUGAUGGAGGGGGAUAACUACUGGAAACGGUAGCUAAUACCGCAUAAUCUCUAAGGAGCAAAGCAGGGGAACUUCGGUCCUUGCGCUAUCGGAUGAACCCAUAUGGGAUUAGCUAGUUGGUGAGGUAAUGGCUCACCAAGGCGACGAUCCCUAGCUGGUCUGAGAGGAUGAUCAGCCACACUGGGACUGAGACACGGCCCAGACUCCUACGGGAGGCAGCAGUGGGGAAUAUUGCACAAUGGGCGCAAGCCUGAUGCAGCCAUGCCGCGUGUAUGAAGAAGGCCUUCGGGUUGUAAAGUACUUUCAGCGGGGAGGAAGGCGAUAAGGUUAAUAACCUUGUCGAUUGACGUUACCCGCAGAAGAAGCACCGGCUAACUCCGUGCCAGCCGCCGCGGUAAUUC